GUACGGGCGCGUCCGCCACGAGGGGCCGGCCGAGCCCCCAUCCUCUUCGGGGCUGCGGUUUCCCGUUCCCGAUCGCACCCCCUACCCACCCCUAGGGCACCUCUCGCCUCGAAACCCCAGCCAUUUUCACAACCCUGGGUGAUCUCUGGUCCUCUUCGCACAAAGCCGUUUCUCCGGGGCUCUGCUCACCUGCCCGGCCGCCCUCUGCUUUCCUCCCCUCCGCCCCUCUCGUGGGUGUUCUCCCGGAUCUCUUCCUGGGUGUGGUCUCUGCCCUCUCCUCUCCUCCAGGGACUCGCUUGGGAGUCUCCGGGCCGUCCCCACCCGCCCCCGACAGGCUACCCUCUCUCUUUGGGUCGCAGAGAUUUCCCUGCUUCCUAUUAGGACAUCUCUAGGGUUUUUACCUCCAGGGUUCGGCUGCCCGUUUCCCCUGUUAGUCGGCCGCUUGGUUCCAGUUCUUUCCCCCGCGCGGGCUCCGCUUCGCUUCCACCGCCCUAGUGAGUUGGCGACGUGGUCCGGCCGGCCCGGCCGCUCCCCAUUUCCACCCCGCGCCGGGCUCGGGCUCCGCGGAAGGCCAGGGCUCCGGCUGUCGGAUGCGCCUUCGGUCUUCCAGAGGAGGGCAGUGGAGACCCGGCGAGGCUGGAGAGGCCUCUGCCUCCGUCCCUGCGGUCUUCCCGGGUGGCACGAAAAGCCACGCGUCCCUUCCACGGGCACCAGCGGAACUCCUGCUCCUGGCCUGAAUCGGAGAGCGGGAAAUUGGGGCACUAGAAGCUUUUUGGGUCUGGGUCGGGGUCAACUCCUAGACUUCGACGCCACCGGUCAUCGCUUCCUUUCCACGCCUUUUUCAGUCUCUGCCGUGUCUGUGUCCCCGUGUCUGAGGUUUUUGUUGUUGUUUUGUCUUGGACUUCAUUUUCUCUCUUCACCCUCCCCCCCAACUCCACCCGUGUCCCUUCUCUCCAACUCCCACUGGCGGGCGACCGGGAGGCUGCGGAGGUGCUGGCUGAGGCGGCGGAGGUGGCCGGGAGGCUGCGUGGAAGAGGCGUCGACGGCAGCCAGGAGGCGGGGUUGGUUGUUAUCUUUGGUUAUCUAGCUGUAUGAGUGGUGUGGAGUCUUCAUAAAGCUAGAUAACCGAAAGUAAAAAUAACCCCAUACACUGCGCAGAGGGGCCCGGGUAAAGCCGGUCUCACCGGCUGGAGGGGGAGGCUUGAGCGAGGGUCUAGAGCCGCGAGGACUGACCAGCACAGGAGGAUACAAGAGGAGACCUCACUGGUUCGGGCGACGUUUCACCUCCUAGCCCCCCCGGUCGGCACAGGUAGGAGUCACAGUCCUAUUUCACUUUAGCCAGGUGCCAUAUUUUUCCCCCCCGCAGAGUUGGGGGCAGGGAGCAAGGAAGCCUGCUUGUGGUUCCCUCUGGUGGUCCCCACUCAGAAUGGGGCCUUUUGUGGCCGUCUGGGUCACUGCUUGGGAAGCUGAUCCAAGGGAGAAAUCCGUUGAAAUCUAGCUGCAGGGUUAUUCAGGCUCCUGGCCCAGGCCUCUCCUUCCAGCGGGAGCUGGUGAAUAGUUUCCCACUGGCUGUCCACAGCUAUGGCUGGGUGAGGGAGUUUGGAGCAAGUCAUCGGAGAACACUGGUCUUUGCUUCAGUCGGCUCCUUGAAGCCAAGAAGGGCUAUCCAGCUGAGUUGGAAGAUGAGGGUGUUGACUUGAAAAUAGGUGGAGAUAGAACUGAAGGUGCUGGGGCUGGGAGGGCUGCUCAAAAAUAUAAAUAGGGUGGUGGAAGAACCUUUUGCCCAGUCUGGGUUCUGGGGCAGUGGAGUGCAGAGCAACCUCGGUUCCAUAUCUGUUUGCCUUCCUCCUUCCGACCCAGGACCUGAGGACAAUGUUUUUAAAAGAUUCUCUUGCUGCUCUGUCAUUGCUCACCAGAGGGGUUGAGUUGGGACCGUUUAGGACACCCAAUCUUCCCACCCCAUCUUCACUCUUGGAAAUCAUCUCCAAGAACAAAUGGCCUCGAGAAGCUCUGAGGAUCUCAAACACAAAGGAAUUUGUAGCUUAGUAUCUAUGCUGCCCAGAGAAAGCAAAUAAUUGGAGAGAUUAAUCAGGGCCUUUCCUAAAAGAAUCCAUUUAUCUGGCUUGACCUAAAUAUUUUAAGAGAAACAGUGUGUAGGUGCAGCUGAAAGGAGUAUAGUCUAGAGUCCCUUUGUGGAAUAGAAGUAAAUGCUAUUCCACAUUUACUAGAAAAAGCUGGAAGUAGCCCCCUCUGCAUUUAUUACAGCUCCCAUCAUAUGCCAUCACCUGGCCUUCCAGGACAUGGGGCAGGAAGGAGUAAUAAGGGGGUGGAAGAACUGGACAAAAUGACCUUGACUGACUCCAGUUUCCUGUAUCAAUUUAAAAUUUUCUCCCAGGACCUGAUUUUAUAGCUAGAAGAUAAUGAUUCAAUUACAUAUUAUGUGGGAGAAAUACUGGAGAAUCCAAACUCAAAAAAAUUGUGCUUCAGGGAGCCUGGAAUACAUAUGUCUUCUUCCUUUAGAGAUUUAGAGGAAGGAGAGAUUAGUAGCCUCUUACUUUCUCAGCCAUUUGGAAUUUGGGUCUUCUGGGGGAGGGGCAGGUGGAGACUGGAUUAGGGAGAAAGGGAGCAGGUUUCAGGGGAGGACUAAUAAUUUCUAACACUACUUCCUGGGCAUUGGGCCUACAUCCCUUUCUGUGCUCUUUCAACACUGAGAUAGUUGUUAUUAACCCCAUUUUACAGAUAAGGAAACAUAGACUCAAAUGAGUUGCUAAUGUCACUCAGUGGUUUCCAACCCAGUGCUUUUUCUUUUUCCUUUUUUGAGACAGAGUCUCGCUCUGUUGCCAGGCUGGACUGCAGUGACACUCUCAGCUCACUGCAACCUCCAUCUCCCGGAUUCAAGUGAUUCUCCUGCCUCCGCCUCCCGAGUAGCUGGGGCUACAAGCCUGUGCCACCACACCCAGCUAAUUUUUGUAUUUUUUUUUAGUAAAGAUAGUGUUUCACCAUGUUGGCCAGGAUGGUCUCAAUCUUGACCUCAUGAUCCGCCCACCUCGGCCUCCCAAAGUGCUGGGAUCACAGGCGUGAGCUACUGCCCGGCCUAACCCAACUCAGCUACUGAACUUGCUUGUGGGAACAGCUGGAGAGAGAGUGAAGCAGGGAGGACAAGAUGAGGUUGAGCUGAGAAGGGAGGGCAUGGGGCACAGUGAAGGGAAGCCGCACCAAGAGAAAAGCCCUGCCUUUUGGCCAGGGCUGGGAGCUGGGAUGAGAGAAGCAGCACCAAGAAAGAUAGGAUUCCAUUUUUUAAAAAAGAAACAAAACAAAACAAAAACCUUUCAUGUAGCUUGCUGAAAAUGUGUAUUUGGGAUCCACUGAGGCUCGGUCACAUGAGACUUAGAAGCUGUAUCAGUAACCACAAUGGGUUUACAUUAUUAUCGUUGUCUCUGAUUAGCGCAUUUGACCUACCUCAGGAUAUCCAAAGGAGAGCAGAGGGAACUGGGGGGGCUGAGAACUGACACCCUACAAAACCAGCACCUCAGUGGAAAGGGGGAAUAGAGCCCAGGAGGGAUGUGGGGGUGAGGGUUUGUGUCUGGCUUAUGUGAGCAUAUGGUGUGUGCAUGUGGGUGUGUGGGUGGGGUUGUCAGGAGAGUGAUGGGUGACUGUGUUUGUGAGCUGUGUGUGUCUGCUUAUGAGGGUGAGAAACUGAGUGGUGUGUGACCUGGUGUAAGGUUGGAUGUGUGUCCCUCUAUGGUGGGUGGGAAGCUUGGUCGUGACAUUAGGGACACCUGGCUAUGUAUAGGUAUAAAUCCACUCUAGGAACAGACAUUCCUGGAUAUGGAAGGAGGUUACCAAAUGCAGACAUCACAGUGACACUGCUGAGUUCUCCCCACCCUCUCUGUGCCAGAUCGAAUCUCCUCCAAUUAAACCCCACAGGAGAACUGUGGGACUGGGGUGCAAGGAGGCUAGUUAAAAGGGGCUCAGAAAGGCCUCCCCAGUUACCAGUUAGGAAAUUUCCUCUCUUGUAUAAUCGCAUCUCUGCCUGUGUCUAAGAAUUUGCAGUUCUAUGCUGCAGAUAUUGUUACAUCUAUUUUUACUGGAAACCAAAUUCUAAGCUGGUUUCUUUACUCAUUUCUGUCCUCAGCCCUCGAUUUUAAUAUCCUUCUAUUGAAUUCUGGGUCCAGGAGGCCAAAGGCACUUUUCUCCCAAAUAUUUGACCCAAGUUUUGCAUUACCAGCCACACCCUCACUCUGGGACAAAUUCUCCUCCCACCCAAUUCCAGGCAUGGAAAGGGUUUUGUUGAUAAGUACUUACAGUCAUAGGAAACAUUCUAGUCAGGAAGCUGUGGGAGAGACAGAAACAGAAACAGAAAGAGCAAAUCUGACCAAGCCAAGGUCCAAGGUUUUGGUGUCUCCAUUUAUCAGCGACACAAAUCUCCCAGCGUCAAUUCAGAUAUGUGUAUAAUGAAGAUAAGAAACCCUUAGGGUUAUUGUGUGCAGAAAAUGAAGAAUUCUAUAUAAAAGAUCAUAUACUAUGUUAUGACACUCAUGGGUAAAGGGUAAUUCUCAGACUGCAGAAAGGUUAAAGGCUGUAGUUUGGAAAGACAGAGCAUGUGAUUGGUUUCAGAAUGUAAAAAGGGCACCUCUCUGGCGUGUUCCGGGCUGAUGAUCUCACCAUAUUUAACUUGAGGAAUUUCCUCCUUUUCCAGCUCCUGGGGACCUAGGUAGGGAGUGUCUGAAGCCUUGGGAGAGGAGGCACAGUCCUUGCGAAGCCUGAUAAAGCGAAGAGGCUGGAGUCCACGUGGCAGAAUUGCUAUUGUUUUCUUUCUCAAUAAGUAUUAAGACUUAUUGGUAAGAGCACUUAGGAUUGGUAAACUGACUUACAUAGAUAAAUACAGCAUGUGUAAAUGAUAAUUUCAAGCUUAUGCCAUUAAGCUCCUGGAUUCUAAGUAACUAAAAACACAGUUUAUUAAAUAAAAGGACAAGUUAGGUAGUGGCUGUAAUCAACAAAUCCUAUAGAGACCUGCCUGUCAGAAUGCAGACUUGUCUUCAUAAUUGAGUGACUUUAAGAAGGGAUGUCUUCUCUCCCUUUGCCUCACAAACCAGCAUCUCCCCAGUCCCCAGUGUGACUCCUAAGGUUGGCAACCCACCUGAGACGCAUGGGCCCCUAUGUCUGAAAGUCCUUUUUCAAGUCUGCACGUUCAAGGUUUGAAAAUUGGGGUCUGGUUAUUUAUUUUUUCACCUUCCUUCACUUGAAUGUUCUGGGAACGGAUUGACCUUCUCACCUCCCUUCCUUUGUUAUUGAGACCUCAGAGAUGGAGGCCGGGGGGAUAUAACACUGCCUCAUCCAGAGACAGGGUGUGCCAACUUCCCUAGGAGAUCAUAAGUUUAGGUUAACGCUUUAAAAUCACUGGAGGGAAGGAGCAGACAAAACUACGAAAACAUUCUUGGGGUUUUAAGGAGAAUGAGGAACAGAGUUAUGGAAGGAAGGGUGGGUGGGUGCAAAUUUAGAUAGGAGAGAUAAAGGAAAAGGGGGAACCCCCUCCUUGCCACUGAGGCUCUCCCAGGGCCGAAGUGACACCCCCUCCUCCUCCUGCCCUAAUCCCCCCAUUAAGGCAGCUCUGAGUUUGUUAUGACAGCGGCUGAAGGCUGCUGAAUUGCUGUUUGCUGUGUCUGCUAAUUGGACUGAAGGGUUGGAGUCUGGACACUGAAAGGGACCAUUGUUGCUGUUUACCUUCCACAGCCGCCUCCCUGGGGACCCUCUGGGUAAAGGGGAGCAGCAGCACCCCCUUAGGGUCAUUGCACCCAUUCCCUGCACAAGGGACUGCAGAGGGGAGACAGUUCAUCUCAUUGCCUUGGGGUGGUUUGAGCUUCUACAGCACGGAAGAGACAAGCCAACACCUGAGCCAGUCUCAUCGCCAGGCCAGGCCUUGGGGCCAUCCAGGAGCUCCCAGGAGAGGAGUUAAAUGCUUGUCUUUCUCCUCCCUAUUCAUUCCCUUCUUCUUUGCUUUGCCUCUUCCUCCAGCUAAUCAGGCUUCACCCUUGCACCUUUUCUGACCCACUUUCUUCUAGGUCAGUGAUUCUCAGCUUGGUUAUGCACGGAAUCACCUGGGGAACUUUAAAAAAAAAAAAGUUGAUGUUUGGGCCCAGCCCCAGACCAAUGAAAUCAGAGUAUGUGGAAAUGAUGCCUAGGCAUCAUUAUUAUUUAAUGUGCACCUGGGGUUAUGAACCACUGACACAGGCUCACCUCUCCACCUGGGAAUCACAUACACACACAUGCAUUCAUGUACCCACAUGCCUGUGUAUGUGUACACGUGCACACACAAACACACCCCGUUCUUUGCCUGCCUUUCCUCCCAAAUUCCUGAUGUCUGUAAUACUAUCAGGCAGGUUGUGUAUCUUUUUAAUUAUUAUUACUAAAUUCCUUGUAGGAGCCUUAGAAAUUAGAAUGGAAUUUAAAGGUCUGCACUUUAUCUUACCUCAAUCUGAGCUUUUCCCCAAGGGGAGGGACUAUGAUUCCAUCUCCCAGUGGAUUUCCAAAUGGGAUCUAGAGGAAGACUGAGCUAAUCUGGGGCACUUAUCAGAGAUUCAGUGACUUUUGUGCUUUUCCUUCCUCAAAGUAAUAUUGGCGAUUUGGAGGUCUUCACAGAGGAGAAAUUUUCUUCAGGCAUCAUCUUUCCCUUUCCUUGCUGUUUCCAAAUAUUUCUGCUUCUUCUCUUCCCUUUAGCUUCUCACCCCGGGCGGGUGGGUGCUCCACCACCCUCCCGCCCUCCUUCCUCCGUGUGGAUGACAGAGCCACAUCCAGCACCACGGACAGCUCCCGGGCGGAAAUUCCAUGAUCUUGCGUAUUCCUGUCUUGGGAAGUCCUUCUCAAUAUCUAACCAAGAUCUACACGGCUAUAGCACCAGCUCUUCGGCCCUUGGCUUGGCCUGGCUGAGUUGAGAGAUCUUAAGGCGCUUGGAGAAGCCACGGAAGCCCCUACAGGGUUUAUUCGCCUUUCCUGGACAGAGCUUCCCCACCCCGAAAGGAAGGCGCUGAUCCCGAUUUGCACCCAUUUGGUUGUGUAAGCCGUUUCGUAGCCAGUGUCUCAGCCAAUCUUCCCAACGGCCCUGAAAACCGGGUGAUACUGUCCCCACUUUAUGAAGGAGGAAUCAAAGCCUCAGGAAGGCUAAGACACUUUCCCAGAGUCACAGGUCUGACCAAAAAGAAAACUUACUUCAUCCAUUUGGAUUCCGUAUGAGGAGCCUUCCCAAUUGACCGAAAGAUGACGCUGGUCUCUAGCGAGUCGAAGUCAAACCAGCUCCUUCAAGAAGCUUUGAGCAGAACGGAAGUAGGGAGGACCCAGCUUCCAGCCUGGGCAGCCCAUUAUACCUGGAGCCAUCUGGGAUAGGACUUUGACCCAUGACUGUCAUAUCCUCAACCUGUUCAUCUUGGCCCAUCCCAGUUUAUCCUGUAUCGUUUGAGCUGGGAUUCCCACAUUCUCUGAGAUGGAAAUCCCAUCUCAAGUCUUCAAUAAAGACUCUUGAAUAUUGAAUCACA